rnacentral:rRNA from 1 species
UGGGAAUCUUCCGCAAUGGACGAAAGUCUGACGGAGCAACGCCGCGUGAGUGAAGAAGGUUUUCGGAUCGUAAAACUCUGUCUUUUGGGGCGAACUGAGUAUGGUGAACAAUCAUAGUCAGUGACGGUACCAAAGGAGGAAGCCACGGCUAACUACGUGCCAGCAGCCGCGGUAAUACGUAGGUGGCAAGCGUUGUCCGGAAUUAUUGGGCGUAAAGAGCGCGUAGGCGGGAUAGUCAGUCUGUUGUAAAAGUGCGGGGCUCAACCCCGUGAUCGCAAUGGAAACAGCUAUUCUUGAGUGCAGGAGAGGAAAGUGGAAUUCCCAGUGUAGCGGUGAAAAUGCGUAGAUAUUGGGAGGAACACCAGUGGCGAAGGCGACUUUCUGGACUGUGUCUGACGCUGAGGCGCGAAAAGCCAGGGGAGCAAAACAGGAUUAGAUACCCUGGUAGUCCACGCCCUAAAACGAUGUCAACUAGUUGUUGGGGAUUCAUUUCCUUAGUAACGUAGCUAAACGCGUGAAAGUUGACCGCCUGGGGAGUAACGGUCGCAAGAUUAAAAACUCAAAAUGAAUUGACGGGGUCAUAGCUGUUUCCUG